rnacentral:rRNA from 1 species
UACGUAGGUGGCAAGCGUUGUCCGGAUUUACUGGGCGUAAAGAGCGCGCAGGCGGUCGUUCAAGUCGCGUGUGAAAGCCCCCGGCUCAACUGGGGAGGGUCACGCGAUACUGAUCGACUCGAAGGCAGGAGAGGGUAGUGGAAUUCCCGGUGUAGUGGUGAAAUGCGUAGAUAUCGGGAGGAACACCAGUGGCGAAGGCAGAUCUCUGGGCCGUAACUGACGCUGAGGAGCGAAAGCAUGGGGAGCGAACAGG